CUCUGAUUUUUAUUUUUAAUCUUUAGUACCAUUGAGUGUUUUUUCCUACCCGAUCCAUAGGAGAUCAUUGGCUAUUUGAAUCAUCCUUAGCAGAAAUCUUGGUAACUUGUUUGCCUUGGAAAUUUGUUGUGGUUCUUUGGCUAAAGAGGAGAAACCUCCGUUUUCAGGAUUACUUCGGAUGGGUUUUAUUCUCUUCUCUGCAUUACUCAAAAGGAAUAUGUGAGCAGCGGUUGAAAGAAUAUCCCAAUUAUAAUGUGCUUAGAGCAUCUGCAGAGUUGUCCUGGAGGCUUGAGCAAGGGGAACCACAGCUGUGAGGCUUUGCUCCUACUCCUAGCACAGAUGCCAAAGCAGAUGGAAGGGCAGGGAUCGUCUGCAGAAAGGCUCCAGAUCUACCAGUUGUGUGACCCUGACAUGGGCCAUGGCACAGGGCUGAAGCCAAUGAGCUGCUGCUGAAAAUGGCAGAAAGGGAAAAGAAAGAUGAAAAAGUAAGUGGGGCUUUGGUAUGAGAGAUUCUAUUGCCUUGAUGUGCCCAUGGCAGCAGAGUUGAGGGAGAGGAACAGUUUUUAUUAUUUGGAGGAUUCCUUUCAUUUGGCUUUCUGAGAGGAUUCUAUAUGAUCCUGGUUGAAUCCUACCUACCACUUCAAAUACUGCCUUCUUUUCCAUUUUGCUGUUACAUGGAGUGAACUUGUUCAGAUAAUCUUUUCAAGUGGAUUCCUUGUUAUGUUUUCUUCCUUCUGCCCCACCGUUUGUAAAUUCAAUCUCUAACUCAAAGAUUCUAAAUCCACAUCAGUUGUACCCCGUAUCAGUAAAUAUAUGUUGUUCAGGAUAGGUCCCUAAGCAGCAUCCUCUAUAUCCCUUCUCUCUGUUUUUCAUUAUGUUCCUGAUUCUUGAUUUAAACGAUGUUAUUUUGGGAAAACUCAUGUGCACUAGGAUUAACAGCAAUUCCCUUUGUAAACCAAGCUUGUUAAAAAAUGCAUUUCCAGGAGCUCAGUAUAACCUGCACCAGCAAGUCUGAGCUUUUGCUUCCUGCGUGGAGAGAAUUCUAGGCUCCUCUAUUCACGGAUUGCUUUAUUAGCUACAGAAGAAACAGCCAAAAGUAGAGAUUCCCAGAACAAUUGUAAAUUAAUUAUUGAAUUUAGAAUACAAUUUUCAAAUGAUUUUCAAUCAAUGAACAGACUUAGUAAGUACAAAGACAACUCAAUUCUGGUGUGUAUCUUAGCCAUUUAAAGAUAUUCAUAGGUUUAAAAUUUAAUGUUUUCUUUUCAUUUACAGUGAAU
rnacentral:lncRNA from 12 species